CUUAUCAAGAGUGGUUGAGGGACGGGCCCUAUGAAACCCGGCAACCGGCUGAUUCGUCAGCAGUGGUGCCAAUUCCCGCAGCAAGUGACAUUGCUGGAAGAUGAGG
rnacentral:ncRNA from 1 species